GCGACCAUGGUGAAAUUGGUAUACACGCUAUCUUGAGGUGGUAGUGCGCUUCGCGUGUGCGAGUUCAAGUCUCGCUGGUCGCACCA
rnacentral:tRNA from 2 species